UCUUUUUGAACCACAAUAUUAUUAAAAGAUCUAAACUUCUGAAAUAUCUAUUUUCUUCAUGCAAGACUUUAGUCUACAUUGGAGCACCAUGUUUAAUGCAUUCUUCUGAAGUUUCUGCCCAGGCCUGAGGUCCAAAUGCUGCUGGGAUGGAAAGAUAAUAGCUGAUAUUCAAAGUCCUAUUGUGCAAAAUCUAUGGCCGUGCAACCACUUAUCAACAGAAUUUGGAUCAGUAGCCUAGAAUAUUGGCCAAGUCAAAAGUAUGGAAGUCUAGGAGACUCUUCCUCCAGCACUCAUGAGAAAUACUCACAGAUAUUUUAACUGAAAGCAUCAGCCCAGCUGUUACGGUGAAGAAGACCCACACUCCCCAGUCUUUCCAUCACGUCCUCAAUCUCGGAGAUUAUCUAUUAAUGCUGGAGCAAUGUAAAUGAAAGGAAUAUGGGCCUUCAAAGAAGUAGAGGCCAGCAUUGCUGGGAGAUGAGUGGGCUUAGAUGAGCAGGCUUUCCAUGGACCAUGAUGGGUUCACCUGCAAUUCCCUGAUUCAGAGAUGCCUGGAAGAUGCCCAACUGGAGUUCUCCAGGAAGCUGACUUCUUUUAACUUGUUAAUUUUUUUUGAAGUUUAUGUAUUUAUUUUGAGAGAGAGAGAGAGU